CGCGGUCGAGGGGCGCGCGGGGGCCUCUCGCCGCUCCCAAUGGCGAUGAAGAUCGCGCUUCUGGUCCACGAUUACGAUCGUCGCGUGGGGCAUGGCC
rnacentral:tRNA from 1 species